AAGAAGGUAAGAAGGCUGCAGCUUCCACCGGGCCUCUUGGGCUGUGUACUCUUGACACUCUUGCUCUGAGAACUAAGCAGGCAUAUUUCAUAUCAAAAUAGUAAAGAACUUCCUUUCCAAAGGCAGGACUUGCUUCUGUGAGGUACUGAGCCACCCGUCCCUGGAGGAAAGCAAGAACAGAGCAGAUCAGAGCCCAGGCAGACAUCUUGGAUGAUGGGGUACAUCUUGCCAUCCAGAGGCAAUGCUGGAGCGGGCAGUUGUCUGCGGGGAGGCCCUGGCUCACUCUGGGCCAAAUAACAGGACUGAUUGCAGCCUGCGAUGAAACAUCCUGUUUCUCCCAACCAGAAACAGGAGAGAAGAGCCCCAGUGAGAGAGUGAAGCAGAUGAAAAGAUAACAUGAAAACCAACCAAGCAACGAACAGACAAACAAAAUAACCCAUUUCAAGUUCUCGGAGCCUGGUCUCAUUUCCAGCCGGAAAUUACUGCUGCAGACUGCAGGGUGCUCCCUGCACUCCCUGUGUAUAUGAUCUAGUGGUUGCUAAUGUC
rnacentral:lncRNA from 1 species